rnacentral:rRNA from 1 species
UNUGGGCUGUAACUGACGCUGAGAAGCGAAAGCAUGGGGAGCGAACAGGAUUAGAUACCCUGGUAGUCCAUGCCGUAAACGUUGGGCACUAGGUGUGGGGGACAUUCCACGUUUUCCGCGCCGUAGCUAACGCAUUAAGUGCCCCGCCUGGGGAGUACGGCCGCAAGGCUAAAACUCAAAGAAAUUGACGGGGGCCCGCACAUGCGGCGGAGUAUGCGGAUUAAUUCGAUGCAACGCGAAGAACCUUACCAAGGCUUGACAUAUACUGGACUGCGUCAGAGAUAGCGUUUCCCUUCGGGGCUGGUAUACAGGUGGUGCAUGGUUGUCGUCAGCUCGUGUCGUGAGAAGUUGGGUUAANNNNNNCAACGAGCGCAACCCUCGUUCUAUGUUGCCAGCACGUGAUGGUGGGGACUCAUAGGAGACUGCCGGGGUCAACUCGGAGGAAGGUGGGGAUGACGUCAAAUCAUCAUGCCCCUUAUGUCUUGGGCUUCACGCAUGCUACGAUGGCCAGUACAGAGGGUUGCGAUACUGUGAGGUGGAGCUAAUCCCUAAAAGCCGGUCUCAGUUCGGAUAGGGGUCUGCAACU